GUUUUAUCGGACACUAGAAGGUAAAUAAGAGCCAAAAAAUACUCGUUUUUCUUGUUUGCUUUAUAUAUUAAUUACACAACGAAGCUUUUGUUCCUCUGUGGUUUGUUUUUUUUAACCACAACACAUAUUUUGUUAAAGUAAAUAUGGGCAGUGUUGGAUUACUAGUCCUGCUUGACCUCAUCAUUCCCACUGCAGUGCGCGUCCAGUGCGUAAAGGGCGCAGGGGAAAUUUUCCGUAGACCUGCGUGUGAAGGCGGCAGAAGGAAAGGGAGGAGGGCAUAAUGGAUUACUAUACUGCCACUGAGUUAAGAUGCUUACCAACUAAUUACCUGUCCACUAGAAAAUCCUCUGCUGCCCCAAACCAGCAAGUAUCCGCGAGGGAGGGAGACGUGGAGCCCAGGAGAAUAAUCUGAUCCUGUUUGGACUCCCAGUCGGGAAAUUUUGGUCACCUUCAUUACAGUUUAAAAAUAUUUUGAAAAUAUUUUACUCCUGGAUUGUUUGAAGGGUGGGUUCAGCGAAGAAGCUUCUUCAGUUUUUCUAACUGAUGGGGUUUUGAGCGCUAUAAGGAUACUACAUGAUCAAGCUUUUUACAGUAUCGAUCUCUCCCGGAAACGGGAAUAUGAGCCCUGCUUUGGGACCCAUUGAAAGCAUCUCAAAAAUCACUUAGCACAUCAUUCCCUACAGCCAGAAUCAAUUCGAACAGCAGACCUUCAGACCGUGUUCAGGAAGGCUCUCAUGGAGGCCAUAAAUGCAGUGCCAAGACCUCCCCCCCACCCCAGCUACCCAGUGCUAACAUUUAGAGCUCAAAGACAGUGGGUGAACUGGGAUAAACAGUCCGAUCCAGUAGCCCAGCAGCAGAUGGCAUAGCUGGAUUUACUCACUAUCCUGUGAGCUAUAAACAAAACAGAGAUGAGGGAAGGACACUACUGAUUCUGAUACAGACUCUGCAUGUGACUGCAAAACCACUGGCACCAAAACACAAAACUUCAAAAGUCCGAAUGCCGUGAGAGUCCAUUAUGGCCGACUGCAGAGGACCUGAGGUUAAGUGGUGCCAGAAGAGAGAGGAAAGAGGGAGGCCGACAUGCUGACAGCUGGUACGAGUGAUUAGACCGUGCAGUGAUGCAGGGAAGGCAUCAAAGCUCUUUAGGGAGAAUCCCUUAGUGGGAGGACACAAUGAUACACACACACACACACACACACACACACACACACACACACACACACACACACACACACACACACACACACACACACACACACACACACACACAGAGGAAUGAAAUCCUGAUACACAACUUCCUGGUUGCUAAAACUGCUUACAAACUCAGCUUACCACAUCCAACAGCAUAGGCUGCACUGACCAUCUGUCUUCUGCAGAUGCAUCACCAACCAAUGGAUUAUCAGCAGCUCUGCCCUAGGACACACACCCCUCUUUCACACACAUACUAACCCCCCUCUGAUUUCGAGAGUCUGGUAAUACAACAGAAUGAGUGGUAUCAUUAGAUUAGAUUGGGUGUGGAAGUUAUGGAAGGAUCUCCUCAUUAAUCACACGCGCUAAUGGCAGUUUAAUAGCUGUUGUCUCAACUGCUUCUUUCCGUUGUACAUCACUGUGCAGCUCCUCUGUUACAAUAAAAGUGUUUUAAUCUCAACAGGAUGGUAAGUGUUGAUUCAUUUGAGAUUAUCUCACAAUACAAACGACCAAAAAAUGCUUGAGGAAGUCAAAGAAAAGCUGGGAUUUGGAAGCAAAACUUGUUUUUCGGGUAAAUUUUAUUGUUACGUUAUCAGAGUAUUAGAUGCAGCAUUGUGAGCUUUAGUCUGCUGCCAUAAAGAAUCGUAUUAUAUAGUUAAAGAAGUAUAGAGGCCAUGCACUAUAAACACACACGCGUACAAAGAGGAAGACUGGAUUACAAUAAUCCAGGGACUGGGGGUAUUUUUAGGACUACAUGACCAGAGGCAGACACUUGAGGAAAACAGAUAAUCACUGUCAUAUGACCAGCUGGAUUUUCUGGAUAUACAGUUAAUUACGUAGUGUCUGCGAGGAACACAUGUAGAGCGAAUGAUGUCAGUACAAAAUUAUUUUGACUGCCUCCCUUAGUUAUGUUGCAAUAAGUCAGGGCUGCUGGGGGCUUUAUAUUAGCAAGCCAAAGUGCUCAUAUGGGGUCUAAUUGUUGGGGUUUCUAUGUUUCCCAUGUUUCCCAAGUACUAAGUAAAUUGUUACACUACUCACUACAGUACUUUCUCAUUACUCCAUAAAAUGACCUCAAAUGCAAUGUCUCAUAACUAUCACGUAACAAUAUAAAACUUUAGGCUACAGUCCCACACACUAAUACCAACAUGAAUCCCUAUCCUAAUGAAGACACAUGUACAAUCUUUCUUUUAGUAUUUACAUAUGAACGUGAAGGUGUGACAACAAAAGUAAAGAUUAAAAAAAUCUUUACUUUUGUUUGAACUUAUUGUGAUUGUUUCUGUCCUGGCAACAGUUUGCCCGUUACCAUCACACUUUUGUCCCUUUUCUGGAAUAAAAAUAAAAGUGCUGUCUAUAUUUCUGCUCCUGAAAAGCUGUGUCUCUGUACUGCGCCACAAUUUUCCUCCUCCAGCAUACGAAAUGAAAGCAUCUGAGUGCAGUGCAACCGUGCAGGAAAAAAAAAUGCAUGUUUGCUUUAUGAUUUUUUUUCUAUCGACCUGGCGUGCAGAUAUCUGAAGAAUCUUUGUGGCACAAGUAACAACAUAAAUGCAACUUUAAGGUAAUUACUGAAUUUAGUAAUACAUUCCAUCAAGUUACAGUACUGCACUUUUACCCUAACCUUUAGCAAAGCCUUCACCUUAAAAUUUGGUGAUAUAUGUUAUGGGGACUUAUUGACCUCACAAUGGAGGUAGCCCACAUAUUGUGACUGUGUGGCUUCAUGUCCCCAAAGCACAGUAUUAACACACACACACACACACACACACACACACACACACACACACACACACACACACACACACACACACACACACACACACACACACACACAGGUUUCAGAUACUCCAUACAAGGAUAGCAGCACUGAAGGCUCUGACAGUGACACAUUGUUGUGUCCACACAUACUAUUGCAUUUGUUCUGUAGAUGCAUUUACCAGAAGCGCUAGAGGGCGCUAGUGAGUAUGUUGUUCUGGUUGUGGUUUUGAAGAAGAAAAAAGAAAAAUAAAGAAAGGAGUCAACUCCGGUAAUCCUCUGUUCC
ensembl:lncRNA